CCCACGCUCCUAUGAAUUAAGAGAGAGAGAAACGGAGAGAGAGAAAUAAAGAGGGAAAGAGAUGUUCGCGAUCCGACCCGAACCUUCGCGAUCGGACCCGAAUUUAUCUCCAUUUUCCAGCCACCUUACCGACCAAGGAAGGUACCAAUAGAAAGCUUGAGAACUGGCCGUCAUUUCCAUUCCGUCAUUGCCGUCGAUUAUUGGCCGGAAAGCCGUUUAUUGAAGCCGCAAAAUUUGGCGGUGAAGCCGCAUUGUUUCGCCGCUGUUCCGCUAGUUUUGGGUGAGGCGACCAGUUGGAUUUUGUUCCCCACAAUCCCCUCUGUCCUUUCCGACCAUCCACUGAGCCGGGAACUGCCCUGUCCCGGCCGGUCAGCCGUUGGAAAGUUCAUGGCUUUGGGAGCUCGAUCAGCCACCGUCGCCGCGCGUCGAUCGUCACCGCCGCCACCAUCGGACUCAGCGUGGUUGGAACUCUCAGGCUAGAGCUUCCCGACGGCCUUUGGUUGACUUUCGGUCAUCGUUGACCAGUAAGGCCAUUUCGGUAAUUUCGUAUCCGAGGGCAAUUUUAUAGUUUCACACUUUGCGGGUAUUUUAGUAAUUGUAUAAAUCAAGAAUAGGCUGGUAAUUUACGAUUUUGAGAUUAACUUGGUAAAUUAUGAUUUUGGGGGUAUUCUAAUAAUGUUAGAAUUUGAGGGUAUUUUGGUAAUUUUGUUAAAUUUGAAGGCGAUUUUAUAAUUUUUGGAUUUGUGCAUAUUUUGGUAGUUUCUGAAUUGGAGAAUAAUUAGUAAUUUAUGAAAUUGAGAAUGAUUUGGUAGUUUAUAAUUUUGGAAUUUUUAGAUUAUUUAUGUGAUUUAUGAGUUUGAGGGCAUUUCGAUGAAGGUUGGGUUAUUUGAACUCAACAAACGCCUCACUAAAUCUAUUUUUGAGAUUAAUCUUUUAUGAUUAAAAUACUCUUAAAUUAAAUUACAAUUAUGGAUAUUAAAAUAUAAUAAAAAAACAGAAUUUUAAUUUUUUCAGCCCAUUUAUACAUCAACAUAAUUUUGUUAAAUCAUAAUCUUAUUUUCAUUAAAUCCUAAUUAACUAGAGGCAUGAAUUACGAGUGGCAAUCUUUUACUUUCAAUUAUCUUCCUACGGUUUGAUGCGCAUUCAAAUGGAGCUCAUCAUCGAUCAUUGAGUCAUGUGCUCUGAUUAUAAUAUUAAUCCUUAAAUUUUCUGAAAACUUUAAUUAUCAUUAAUCAAAAGCAAAUUGUAUUUUAAUUAACGGGUUAAAUUUCUUUUCUUUUCAAUUUGGCCAUUUAGUGGAGCCGAAUUAAGCUAAGCCGCAUCACCAUUCACCAAUGGUAGCUCAGCCUCUCCGCUAACAAUAGGCAUGGCUGAUUCUCAAUUAUCUGAUUAUCAUCACAAGCUCAAGUAGCACCUACGCUAACAAAUUCAUUUUGAUUUAAUUACCAUCUCCAUCGGUGUUAAAAAAAAUAAAUGAUUUCAAUGAAGAUUUAUAAAUGAAGUUAAUGGAUUUAGCGAGUUAAAAUAUUAUUAUUAUAAAAAUUGAGUUUAGUGAGUGUAUAUUAAGUAUUUAUCCGUACUAAUAUUUUAGCAUCCUAAUGAUUUCAAUUUAUCCAAUAAAUAUACAAUUGAAUCAUCUUAUAAAAUAAGUAUCUAAUCCUACUUUGAAGUAUUAAAAAAAGAAAAAAAAAGUUGAAUUGAAGACAUAUUUGAAAAUAAAAUAAAUUUUAUUAUUUAAUAAAAUUAUAAAAAUGCAAGGGGUAUAUCCAAAAGUUUCCGGGGUCUAGCCCAGGCUUGCUGUCUUAAGCAAAAAUUCGAAUCAAAUCAAAAUUAAAUUCUUUUUCUCCUCUCAUUUUUUAGAUGGGUUUCUUUGAUAGCCAAUCGAGAUCAAAAAAAGAAAUGGCAAAGGGAGAAUGAAUACAAGUAAAAAAAAAAAAAAAGAAGAAUAAGAAUAAUAAUUUAAGUGACUAGAUUUUUUCUUUCCUUGAAAUAUUGUCAUGUCGAUAAUUUUCUCUGCUAUAAUUUAUUAAUAAAAUUUAAUCGACAUAUGCGUGAAGAAGAAGUGCAAUUUUUCAUGAGAGAUUGAAAAGUGACUAACAUGAAGUUAACUUUUUUCUUCAGUUAGUAAUUUCAGUUAGUUUUAAAAACGUUAUGUUUUUUACAUCUAAAUAAAAUAUAGAUAGGAGGACAGGGGUAGAAACUCUUACAUCAAGUGAGAAUAAGUUUUUAUGUACUAUAUAUAUAUAUAUAAGAGGAGAUUAUGGUGAUAGGUAAGAUUAAAUUUAUUAACAAAAAUUUAAAAACAUCUUAUUAAUAUAAAAUUAUAAAAAAAUAAAUAAAUACUCACCUUAGAAUUUCUUAAAUACCAUGUUUCAAAAUCUCUUAUAAAGUUUAGGAAAAAAAAAUUGAAGUUGAAAAUUUACAAAUCAUUUUCCUAAUUUGAGAAGAUAUAUAAGUUUAGUGAAACUUAAUAAGUCUUUUCCUUCUUCCUUUUCCUUAACUAGUCAGGCUUUCAUUUUCCUUGACUAGUUAGGAUAUACAUCCUUAUAUAAAGAUGCUUACAUUGAGCUCCCAAAUCCCAACUUCGCAAUAGAGUUAAUAAAUUAGAAGGUAUCGAGUUCUUGGUUUUCAGUUUUUUCUUGAAUCGUCGAUCAAAAAACUUGAUUAGCUAUGAAGCAGAAGGCAAUUGACUCCGAAGAAGGAUGGGACUAUUUGGAUCGGGGAAUCACAAAAUUGAAGAGGAUUUUCGAAGGAUUGCCGGAGCCAACGUUUAAUUUGGAGGAUUACAUGAUGCUUUACACAACCGUAUACAAUAUUUAUUCUGAGUCGACUUAUCCUCUUGACAAAAAUAGCAAACAGUUGUAUAACAAUUACAAGCAAAUACUUGAAGAUUAUAUGCCAUCAAAGGUAUUGCCAUCUUUGAGAGAGAAGCACGAUGAGUAUGAUUUGUUGAAGGAGCUUUUGAAAAGCUGGGCUAAUCAUAAAUUUUUGGUUAAAUGGCUUUCACUCGUCUUCCUUCCUCUUCAAGUUGAAUUCGCUUAUAUUACUCGAAAGAAACUUCCUAAACUUAAUGCGUUUGGACUUUCUUGCUUCCGGGAUCUGGUGUUUGAUGCUAUAAAGGACAAAGUCAAGGAUGCUGUAAUUGCUUUAAUCGAUAGAGAACGCGAGGGAGAAGAGAUUGACAGAACGUUGGUGAAGAAUGUAUUGAAUUUAUUCGUUGAGAUUGACGAGGGGAAGAUGCAUUGUUACGAAAAGGAUUUUGAAGAACAUAUGCUUCAGGAUACGGGGGCUUAUUAUUCUCGCAAGGCAUCAAAUUGGAUUCUUCAGGAUUCGAGUGAAGAUUACAUGCUCAAGGUUGGUGAAUGCUUGAAGAAAGAAAGAGGGAGAGCGUCUCAUUACCUGCAACCAAGCAGCGAGCGGAAAUUGACGGACAUACUAGAACAUGAGUUGUUGGUGGUGCGUGCAAGUCAGCUUCUUGAAGAAGGAGAAUUUGGAUGCAGACAAUUGCCUAGAGGAGAUAAGGUGGAUGAUCAUUCGAUUAUCUGCUGUGACAGCGAGAAAUCGAGGAAUGAAUUAGGCAUUGGAGAAACAUUGGAGUAGGUUCUUAGAUUGUGAUGCACACCAAGAAACCCUAAAGUUCCUAGUCAAUUUCAAGUCUAUUAAUUUUAUAAUUUCUAUUCCAUUGGAUUUUUUUUUUUUCCUUGAGCACUAAUUAAUUGGCAUUGCUGCCUUAGAUAUCGUGAUGAGUAAGCAUGCCGAUGAAUAUGUUUUAUACAUUAAUUAAAAAUUUUAGACAACCCCAUAGAUAAAGAUAGACCUAAGAACUAAUUAUGAACAAAAUAGUAAUGGGUAUAAAUUGCCUUCUCAAUAAUUAUUCGUUGCAUUGUGGUUCAUACGAAAGAAUAUGAAUAAGUUAUCAUUAUUUGUUCUUCUUUUCCUUUCUAAUUUUUUUUUUAGCGACUUCUUCAAUCCUUUCUCUCCCUAUCCCCAAUUAUUUUGAGAUUUCUCUUCACCAUUCGUUAAUUUUCCUUUUCAAUAAAUUUUGAAUGUAUUUCAUGAAUCCAAUUUGGUAAGCCAAUGUGUAUAACAAAAUCUCUCACCCCACCAACCAACCAUUUUUCUUAUUUUUCUUUCUUCAUAUAAAGUUCUUGUCUAAGAAUAGAGAAUUCACUUCCAGAUCACAAGUAUAUGGGCUUGGAAGUUGUUUUCCAGCUAAAACUUUUGGGCCAACAAUCAAGGCCUAUCAAGCAAACAACUUUUGUCCUCCUGCACUUACCUCGUUUCGUUGAUAAAGAAAAUCCCUUAAGUUGAUGAAUUUGUGCUUCGUAAUCCUAAUUGUUUGAAUUCCGUCAAGCAAUGCAACAGAACACAAAAUGUCCUUUUCACCCUUAGGAUUUAAUAUAAUACAUAUUUCAUCCCUAUAUUUUAAAUAAUAGUGUAAAGUAUUCUUUCAUUAAUUUGCCAUUAGUUUAUUAUAUUUUUUUUGCAAGCUCCAUUAGCAUACUUGGUAGUUUGCAUACAAUUUUUGACAAUUUAAUUUUUUAAAAUUAAAAAUUAAUAUAAUUUUUUUAUAUUUAGGGCUAAAUUAGUAAUUUAAUUAUUUUCUUUUUAUUAAUGUCCAAGUAAAAAAAUAAUUAUAAAUGGGCAAUAUUGUUAAAGUAAGACAAAAGAAAUAAAAAGUAACAAUAUGAAUAUCAAUACUUUAACGGCAGAGAUUUAAAAAAAUACAAGGACUAAAUAAAUAUUAAUCUUAAAAUAUAGAGACUAAAUGAUCUUUUAUCCUUUACACAACCGUAUACAAUAUUUGUUCCCAGCCGGAUCGUCUUCUUGAUGAAGAUCCCAAACAGCUGUAUGACAAGUAAAAGCAAGUACUUGAAGAUUAUAUGCCAUGAAAGGCAUUGCCAUCUUUGAGAGAGAAGCACGAUGAGUAUCAUUUGUUGAGGGAGCUUUUGAAAAGCUGGGCUAAUAAUGAAAUUUUGGUUAAAUGGCUUUCACGCGUCUUCCUUCCUCUUCAGGUAGGUUAUAUUCCUCGAAGGAAACUUCCUAAACUUAAUGCGAUUUUAAAGGAAAUAAAUGAUGAAAUUAUGAAAAUAUUGUUAAUUGUUAUUAUAUCAUUGAGUAAUAAUAAGAAUCUUAAUAUUAAAGUUUUAAUUUGCGUUCUAAAGUUCAUUUUAAAUUAGUUUAGGAGGUUUAAAAGUGAUUUUAAAAAUUUAAAAAUUAAUUUUAAUAUUUCAUAAAAAAAUUAAAAUUAUUUUUUAUCAAAAUCAGUCCAUAUGAUUUUAAAUUUAAAUUUAAAUUUAGAGAAUUAAUUUUAUAUUUUAAUACAAUUUUAAUUUUAUCCUCUACCAUUAUACUUUGAGUAAUGAUACAACCACAAACUCUUGUACAAAUUUAUUUUAUACAAACUGAUGUGGCAUGAUAAGAUUGAUUGAAUUAAAAAUCACUUGGCCCACAUGAUUUGUUUUUAUUAUUUUAUAUUUUCAUUCAACCAAUGAAUUAAUGACACGUCAGUUUAUACAAAAUAAAUUUAUAUAAAAAUUUAUAGCUGUAUCAUUACUCUUAUACUUUAGUUAAAAUAAUGUGUUUCGUAUUGCACCCAAUGACAAUGUCAUUAUUGUUGACAUACUCUUUUUUUUUUAAAUAGACCAAACCAUUUUUUUUUUUUUCUGUGUAUUACCCCACGCCCCUAUGAAUUAAGAGAGAGAGAAACGAAGAGAGAGAAAGAAAGAGGGAAAGAGAUGGGAGCGAUCCGACCCGAACCUUCGCGAUCGGACCCGAAUUUAUCUCCAUUUUCCAGCCACCUUACCGACCAAGGAAGGUACCAAUAGAAAGCUUGAGAACUGGCCGUCAUUUCCAUUACGUCAUCGCCGUCGAUUAUUGGCCGGAAAGCCGUUUAUUGAAGCCGCAAAAUUUUGCGGUGAAGCCGCAUUGUUUCGCCGCUGUUCCGCCAGUUUUGGGUGAGGCGACCAGUUGGAUUUUGUUCCCCACAAUCCCCUCUGUCCUUUCCGACCAUCCACUGAGCCGGGAACUGCCCUGUCCCGGCCGGUCAGCCGUUGGAAAGUUCAUGGCUUUGGGAGCUCGAUCAGCCACCGUCGCCGCGCGUCGAUCGUCACCGCCGCCACCAUCGGACUCAGCGUGGUUGGAACUCUCAGGCUAGAGCUUCCCGACCGCAUUUGGUUGGCUUUCGGUCACCUUUGACCAGCAAGGCCAUUUCGGUAAUUUCGUAUCCGAGGGCAAUUUUAUAAUUUCAUACUUUGCGGGUAUUUUAGUAAUUGUAUAAAUUGAGAAUAGGCUGGUAAUUUACGAUUUUGAGAUUAACUUGGUAAAUUAUGAUUUUGGGGGUAUUCUAAUAAUGUUAGAAUUUGAGGGUAUUUUGGUAAUUUUGUUAAAUUUGAGGCGAUUUUAUAAUUUUUGAAUUUGUGCAUAUUUUGGUAGUUUCUGAAUUGGAGAAUAAUUAGUAAUUUAUGAAAUUGAGAAUGAUUUGGUAGUUUAUAAUUUUGGAAUUUUUAGAUUAUUUAUGUGAUUUAUGAGUUUGUGGGCAUUUCGAUGAAGGUUGUGUUAUUUGAACUCAACAAACGGCUCACUAAAUUUAUUUUUGAGAUUAAUUUUUUAUAAUUAAAAUAUUUUUAAAUUAAAUUACAAUUAUGGAUAUUAAAAUAUAAUAUAAAAAAACAGAAUUUUAAUUUUUUCAGCCCAUCUAUACAUCAACAUAAUUUUGUUAAAUCAUAAUCUUAUUUUCAUUAAAUCCUAAUUAACUAGAGGCAUGAAUUACGAGUGGCAAUCUUUUACUUUCAAUUAUCUUCCUACGGUUUGAUGCGCAUUCAAAUGGAGCUCAUCAUCGAUCAUUGAGUCAUGUGCUCUGAUUAUAAUAUUAAUCCUUAAAUUUUCUGAAAACUUUAAUUAUCAUUAAUCAAAAGCAAAUUUGAUUUUAAACAACGGGUUAAAUUUCUUUUCUUUUCAAUUUGGCCAUUUAGUGGAGCCGAAUUAAGCUAAGCCGCAUCACCAUUCACCAAUGGUAGCUCAGCCUCUCCGCUAACAAUAGGCAUGGCUGAUUCUCAAUUAUCUGAUUAUCAUCACAAGCUCAAGUAGCACCUACGCUAACAAAUUCAUUUUGAUUUAAUUACCAUCUCCAUCGGUGUUAAAAAAAAUAACUGAUUUCAUUGAAGAUUUAUAAAUGAAUUUAAUGGAUUUAGCGAGUAAAAAUAUUAUUAUUAUAAAAAUUGAGUUUAGUAAGUGUAUAUUAAAUAUUUAUCCGUACUAAUAUUUUAGCAUCCUAAUGAUUUCAAUUUAUCCAAUAAAUAUACAAUUGAAUCAUCUUAUAAAAUAAGUAUCUAAUCCUACUUUGAAGUAUUAAAAAAAGAAAAAAAAAGUUGAAUUGAGGACAUAUUUUAAAAUAAAAUAAAAUUUAUUAUUUAAUAAAAUUUUAAAAAUGCAAGGGGUAUAUCCAAAAGUUUCCGGGGUCUAGCCCAGGCUUGCUGUCUUAAGCAAAAAUUCGAAUCAAAUCAAAAUUAAAUUCUUUUUCUCCUCUCAUUUUAUAGCUAAAUUUCGAUAAUUGGAAAACUAGACUAACGACACAAAGUCUUGAAAACAAAAUGGUUUGAUGGGUUUCUUUGAUAGCCAAUCGAGAUCAAAAAAGAAAUGGCAAAGGGAGAAUGAAUACAAGUAAAAAAAAAAAAGAAGAAUAAGAAUAAUAAUUUAAGUGACUAGAUUUUUUCUUUCCUUGAAAUAUUGUCAUGUCGAUAAUUUUCUCUGCUAUAAUUUAUUAAUAAAAUUUAAUCGACAUAUGCGUGAAGAAGAAGUGCAGUUUUUCAUGAGAGAUUGAAAAGUGACUAACAUGAAGUUAACUUUUUUCUUCAGUUAGUAAUUUCAGUUAGUUUUAAAAACGUUAUGUUUUUGACAUCUAAAUAAAAUAUAGAUAGGAGGACAGGAGUAGAAACUCUUACAUCAAGUGAGAAUAAGUUUUUAUGUACUAUAUAUAUAUAAGAGAGAUUAUGGUGAUAGGUAAGAUUAAAUUUAUUAACAAAAAUUUAAAAACAUCUUAUUAAUAUAAAAUUAUAAAAAAAUUAAAUACUCACCUUAGAAUUUCUUAAAUACCAUGUUUCAAAAUCUCUUACAAAGUUAAGAAAAAAAAAAUUGAAGUUGAAAAUUUACAAAUCUUUUUCCUAAUUUGAGAAGAUAUAUAAGUUUAGUGAAACUUAAUAAGUCUUUUCCUUGACUAAUUAGGCUUUCCUUUUCCUUAACUAGUUAGGAUAUACAUCCUUAUAUAAAGACGCUUACAUUAAGCUCUCAAAUCCCAACUUCGCAAUAGAGUUAAUAAAUUGGAAGGAAUCGAGUUCUUGGUUUUCAGUUUUUUCUUGAAUCGUCGAUCGAAAAACUUGAUUAGCAAUGAAGCGCAAGGCAUGUGACUCCGAAGAAGGAUGGGACUAUUUGGAGCGGGGAAUCACAAAAUUGAAGAGGAUUUUCGAAGGAUUGCCAGAGCCAGCGUUUAAUUUGGAGGAUUACAUGAUGCUUUACACAACCGUAUACAAUAUUAACUCCCAGCGGACUUAUCCUCUUGACAAAAAUAGCAAACAAUUGUAUAACAAUUACAAGCAAGUACUUGAAGAUUAUAUGCCAUCAAAGGUAUUGCCAUCUUUGAGAGAGAAGCACGAUGAGUAUGAUUUGUUGAGGGAGCUUUUGAAAAGCUGGGCUAAUCAUAAAUUUUUGGUUAAAUGGCUUUCACUCGUCUUCCUUCCUCUUCAAGGUGAAGGCGCUUAUAUUACUCGAAAGAAACUUCCUAAACUUAAUGCGUUUGGACUUUCUUGCUUCCGGGAUCUGGUGUUUGAAGCUAUAAAGGACAAAGUCAAGGAUGCUGUAAUUGCUUUAAUCGAUAGAGAACGCGAGGGAGAAGAGAUUGACAGAACGUUGGUGAAGAAUGUAUUGAAUUUAUUCGUUGAGAUUGACAAGGGGAAGAUGCAUUGUUACGAAAAGGAUUUUGAAGAACAUAUGCUUCAGGAUACGGGGGCUUAUUAUUCUCGCAAGGCAUCAAAUUGGAUUCUUCAGGAUUCGAGUGAAGAUUACAUGCUCAAGGUUGGUGAAUGCUUGAAGAAAGAAAGAGGGAGAGCGUCUCAUUACCUGCAACCAAGCAGCGAGCGGAAAUUGACGGACAUACUAGAACAUGAGUUGUUGGUGGUGCGUGCAAGUCAGCUUCUUGAAGAUGGAGAAUUUGGAUGCAGACAAUUGCCUAGAGGAGAUAAGGUGGAUGAUCAUUCGAUUAUCUGCUGUGACAGCGAGAAAUCGAGGAAUGAAUUAGGCAUUGGAGAAACAUUGGAGUAGGUUCUUAGGUUGUGAUGCACACUACGAAACCCUAAAGUUCCUAGUCAAUUUCAAGUCUAUUAAUUUUAUAAUUUCUAUUCCAUUGGAUUUUUUUUUCCUGAAGCACUAAUUAAUUGGCAUUGCUGCCAUAGAUAUCGUGAUGAGUACGCGUACCGAUGAAUAUGUUUUAUACAUUAAUUAAAAAUUUUAGACAACCCUAUAGAUAAAGAUAGACCUAAGAACUAAUUAUGAACAAAAUAGUAAUGGGUAGAAAUUGUCUUCUUGACAAUUAUUCGUUGCAUUGCGGUUCAUACGAAAGAACAUGAAAAAUUAUCAUUAUUUGUUCUUCUUUUCCUUUCUAAUUUUUUUUUUUAGCGACUUCUUCAAUCCUUUCUCUCGCUAUCCCCAAUUAUUUUGAGAUUUCUCUUCACCAUUCGUUAAUUUUACUUUUCAAUAAAUUUUGAAUGUAUUUCAUGAAUCCAAUUUGGUAAGCCAAUGUGUAUAACAAAAUCUCUCACCCCACCAACCAACCAUUUUUCUUAUUUUUCUUUCUGCAUAUAAAGUUCUUGUCUAAGAAUAGAGAAUUCACUUCCCAGAUCACAAGAAUAUGGGCUUGGAAGUUAUUUACCAGCUAAAACUUUUGGGCCAACAAUCAAGGCCUAUCAAGCAAACAACUUUUGUCCUCCUGCACUUACCUCGUUUCGUUGAUAAAGAAAAUCCCUUAAGUUGAUGAAUUUGUGCUUCGUAAUCCUAAUUGUUUGAAUUCCGUCAAGCAAAGCAACAGAACAGAAAAUGUCCUUUUCACCCUUAGGAUUUAAUAUGAUACAUAUUUCAUCCCUAUAUUUUAAAUAAUAGUGUAAAGUAUUGUUCCGUUAAUUUGCCAUUAGUUUAUUAUAAUUUUUUUGCAAGCUCCAUUUGCAUACUUGGUAGUUUGCAUACAAUUUUUGACAAUUUAAUUUUUAAAAAUUAAAAAUUAAUAUAAAUUUUUUAUUUUUAUUUUUAGGGCUAAAUUAGUAAUUUAAUUAUUUUCUUUUUAUUAAUGUCCAAGCAAAAAAAUUAUUAUAAAAGGACAAUAUUGUUAAAGUAAGACAAAAGAAAUAAAAAGUAACAGUGUGAAUAUCAAUACUUUAAGGGUAAAGAUUUUAAAAAAUAUAAGGAUUAAAUAAAUAUUAAUCUUAAAAUAUAGAGACUAAAUGAUCUUUUAUCUUUUACACAACCGUAUACAAUAUUUGUUCUCAGUCGGCUCGUCCUCUUGAUGAAGAUCCUAAACAGCUGUAUGACAAGUAAAAGCAAGUACUUCAAGAUUAUAUGCCAUGAAAGGCAUUGCCAUACUUGAGAGAGAAGCACGAUGAGUAUCAUUUGUUGAGGGAGCUUUUGAAAAAUUGGGCUAAUCAUGAAUUUUUGGUUAAAUGGCUUUCACGCGUCUUCCUUCCUCUUCAAUUCGGUUAUAUUCCUCGAAGGAAACUUUCUGAACUUAAUGCGAUUGUAAAGGAAAUAAAUCAUGAAAUUACGAAAAUAUUGUUAAUUGUUAUUAUAUCAUUGAGUAAUAAUAAGAAUCUUAAUAUUCAAAUUUUAAUUUGAGUUCUAAGGUUCAUUUUAAAUUAUUUUAUCAGGUUUACAAAUAAUUUUAAAAAUUUAAAAAUUAAUUUUAAUAUUUAAUAAAAAAUUAAAAUUAUUUUUUAUCAAAAUCAGCCCAGAUACUUUUAAAUUUAAAUUUAGAGAAUUAAUUUUAUAUUUUAAUACAAUAUUAAUUGUAUCCUCUACCAUUGUACUUUAGUUAAAAUAAUGUAUUUCGUAUUGCACCCAAUGACCAUGUCAUAAUUGUUGACAUACUUUUUUUUUUAAAAAUAAACCAAACCAUAAUUUUUUUUUCAUAUGUAUUACCCCACACCCCUAUGAAUUAAGAGAGAGAGAAAUGAAGAGAGAGAAAGAAAGAGGGAAAGAGAUGGGAGUGAUCCGACCCGAACCUGCGCGAUCCGACCCGAAUUUAUCUCCAUUUUCCGGCCACCUUACCGACCAAGGAAGGUGCCAGUAGAAAGCUUGAGAACUGACCGUCAUUUCCAUUCCGUCAUUGCCGUCGAUUAUUGGCCGGAAAGCCGCUUAUUGAAGCCGC
rnacentral:lncRNA from 1 species